rnacentral:rRNA from 1 species
UACGUAGGGGGCAAGCGUUGUCCGGAAUCAUUGGGCGUAAAGCGCGUGUAGGCGGCUCGGUAAGUCCGCUCUGAAAGUCCAGGGCUCAACCCUGGGAUGCGGGUGGAUACUGCCGGGCUCGAGUCCGGAAGAGGCGAGUGGAAUUCCCGGUGUAGCGGUGAAAUGCGCAGAUAUCGGGAGGAACACCAAUGGCGAAGGCAGCUCGCUGGGACGUGACUGACGCUGAGACGCGAAAGCGUGGGGAGCAAACAGGAUUAGAUACCCCGGAUACGUACCGA